AACGAACGCUGGCGGCAUGCCUAACACAUGCAAGUCGAACGAGGUCCUUCGGCGUCUAGUGGCUCACGGAUGCGUAACGCGUUGGAAUCUGCCUUUAGGUCCGGAAUAACAGUUAGAAAUGACUGCUAAUACCGGAUGAUGACGUUAAGUCCAAGGAUUUAUCGCCUGGGGAUGAGGCCGCGUAGGCUUCGCUAGUUGGUGUGGUAAAGGCAAAGCAAGGCGACGAUCCUUAGCUGGCAUGGGAGGAUGCUCAGCCACACUGGGGAUGAGACCCGGCCCCGACUGGUACGCAACGGAGCAGAGGGGAAUAUUGUGGAAUGGACGCAGGUCUGAUCCAGCAACGUCGGGUGAGUGAUGAAGGCCGUAGGGUUGUAAAGCUGUCUUAAACGGGAUGAUAGUGACGGUACCGGGAGAAUAAGCCCCGGCUAACUACGUG
rnacentral:rRNA from 1 species